GCCGGCAGCUAGCUCUCUGCAACUCUCACAUGGUCGCCCAUUGAAGAUAAGCAGGGCUGCGCCCGGUCAGUACCUGGAUGGGAGACCACAUGGGAAAGCUAGGUUGCUGCCGGAA
rnacentral:rRNA from 1 species